UACGUAGGGUGCAAGCGUUGUCCGGAAUUAUUGGGCGUAAAGAGCUUGUAGGCGGUUUGUCGCGUCUGCUGUGAAAUUUCGGGGCUCAACCCCGAACUUGCAGUGGGUACGGGCAGACUAGAGUGUGGUAGGGGAGACUGGAAUUCCUGGUGUAGCGGUGAAAUGCGCAGAUAUCAGGAGGAACACCGAUUGCGAAGGCAGCUCGCUGGGACGUAACUGACGCUGAGACGCGAAAGCGUGGGGAGCAAACAGG
rnacentral:rRNA from 1 species